GGCAGGCAGGCAGGGGCCAUGACUCCAGCCAGCCAGUCAGCCAAGGCAGGCUGCGACGCCAGUCAACCAGCCAAGGUAGUCAGGCAGGUAGGGGUUAUGGCUACAGCCAGUCAGCCAGCCUAGGCAGGCAGGCCUGGGCCAUGACUCCAGCCAGCCAGUCAGCCAUGGCAGGCAGGCAGGGGCCACGACUCCAACCGGUGAGCCAAGGCAGUCAGGCAGGCCAAGGCCAUGACUCCAACCAGCCAGCCAAGGCAGACAGGCUUGGGCCAUGAAUCCAGCCAGCCAGCUAAGGCACUCAGGCAGGAGCUGCAAAUCCAGUCAGCCAGUCAAGGCAGGCAGGCAGGGGCCGUGUCUCCAGCCAGUCAACCAAGGCAGGCAGGCAGGGGCCAUGAUUCCAGCCAGCCAGUCAGCCAAGGCAGGCAGGCAGGAGCUGCGACUCCAGUCAGGCAGCCAAGGCAGGCAGGUAGGGGCCAUGACUCCAGCCAGUCAGCCAAGGCAG
ensembl:lncRNA